rnacentral:rRNA from 1 species
UGUAGUCAUAUGCUUGUCUCAAAGAUUAAGCCAUGCAUGUCUAAGUAUAAGCAAUUAUACAGCGAAACUGCGAAUGGCUCAUUAAAUCAGUUAUCGUUUAUUUGAUAGUACCCUACUACAUGGAUAACCGUGGUAAUUCUAGAGCUAAUACAUGCUAAAAAUCCCGACUUCGGAAGGGAUGUAUUUAUUAGAUUAAAAACCAAUGCCCUUCGGGGCUUCCUGGUGAUUCAUAAUAACUUCUCGAAUCGCACGGCCUUGCGCCGGCGAUGGUUCAUUCAAAUUUCUGCCCUAUCAACUUUCGACGGCUGGGUCUUGGCCAGCCGUGGUGACAACGGGUAACGGAGGGUUAGGGCUCGACCCCGGAGAAGGAGCCUGAGAAACGGCUACUACAUCCAAGGAAGGCAGCAGGCGCGCAAUUACCCAAUCCCGACACGGGGAGGUAGUGACAAUAAAUACUGAUACAGGGCUCUUUUGGGUCUUGUAAUUGGAAUGAGUACAAUUUAAAUCCCUUAACGAGGAACAAUUGGAGGGCAAGUCUGGUAAUCG